rnacentral:rRNA from 1 species
CUUGGUGUUACUGCGAAGGGGGGACGGAGAAGGCUAUGUUGGCCGGGCGACGGUUGUCCCGGUUUAAGCGUGUAGGUGUGUGUUCCAGGUAAAUCCGGUUCACUUUAACACUGAGGCGUGACGACGAGGCACUACGGUGCUGAAGCAACAAAUGCCCUGCUUCCAGGAAAAGCCUCUAAGCAUCAGGUAACAUCAAAUCGUACCCCAAACCGACACAGGUGGUCAGGUAGAGAAUACCAAGGCGCUUGAGAGAACUCGGGUGAAGGAACUAGGCAAAAUGGUGCCGUAACUUCGGGAGAAGGCACGCUGACACGUAGGUGAAGUGAUUUACUCAUGGAGCUGAAGUCAGUCGAAGAUACCAGCUGGCUGCAACUGUUUAUUAAAAACACAGCACUGUGCAAACACGAAAGUGGACGUAUACGGUGUGACGCCUGCCCGGUGCCGGAAGGUUAAUUGAUGGGGUCAGCGCAAGCGAAGCUCCUGAUCGAAGCCCCGGUAAACGGCGGCCGUAACUAUAACGGUCCUAAGGUAGCGAAAUUCCUUGUCGGGUAAGUUCCGACCUGCACGAAUGGCGUAAUGAUGGCCAGGCUGUCUCCACCCGAGACUCAGUGAAAUUGAACUCGCUGUGAAGAUGCAGUGUACCCGCGGCAAGACGGAAAGACCCCGUGAACCUUUACUAUAGCUUGACACUGAACAUUGAGCCUUGAUGUGUAGGAUAGGUGGGAGGCUUUGAAGUGUGGACGCCAGUCUGCAUGGAGCCGACCUUGAAAUACCACCCUUUAAUGUUUGAUGUUCUAACGUGGACCCGUAAUCCGGGUUGCGGACAGUGUCUGGUGGGUAGUUUGACUGGGGCGGUCUCCUCCUAAAGAGUAACGGAGGAGCACGAAGGUUGGCUAAUCCUGGUCGGACAUCAGGAGGUUAGUGCAAUGGCAUAAGCCAGCUUGACUGCGAGCGUGACGGCGCGAGCAGGUGCGAAAGCAGGUCAUAGUGAUCCGGUGGUUCUGAAUGGAAGGGCCAUCGCUCAACGGAUAAAAGGUACUCCGGGGAUAACAGGCUGAUACCGCCCAAGAGUUCAUAUCGACGGCGGUGUUUGGCACCUCGAUGUCGGCUCAUCACAUCCUGGGGCUGAAGUAGGUCCCAAGGGUAUGGCUGUUCGCCAUUUAAAGUGGUACGCGAGCUGGGUUUAGAACGUCGUGAGACAGUUCGGUCCCUAUCUGCCGUGGGCGCUGGAGAACUGAGGGGGGCUGCUCCUAGUACGAGAGGACCGGAGUGGACGCAUCACUGGUGUUCGGGUUGUCAUGCCAAUGGCACUGCCCGGUAGCUAAAUGCGGAAGAGAUAAGUGCUGAAAGCAUCUAAGCACGAAACUUGCCCCGAGAUGAGUUCUCCCUGAGACUUAGAGUCUCCUGAAGGAACGUUGAAGACGACGACGUUGAUAGGCCGGGUGUGUAAGCGCAGCGAUGCGUUGAGCUAACCGGUACUAAUGAACCGUGAGGCUUAACCUU